rnacentral:rRNA from 1 species
CCUACGGGAGGCAGCAGUAGGGAAUCUUCCACAAUGGGCGCAAGCCUGAUGGAGCAACACCGCGUGAGUGAAGAAGGGUUUCGGCUCGUAAAGCUCUGUUGUUGGAGAAGAACGUGCGUGCGAGUAACUGUUCACGCAGUGACGGUAUCCAACCAGAAAGUCACGGCUAACUACGUGCCAGCAGCCGCGGUAAUACGUAGGUGGCAAGCGUUAUCCGGAUUUAUUGGGCGUAAAGCGAGCGCAGGCGGUUGCUUAGGUCUGAUGUGAAAGCCUUCGGCUUAACCGAAGAAGUGCAUCGGAAAACGGGCAACUUGAGUGCAGAAGAGGACAGUGGAACUCCAUGUGUAGCGGUGGAAUGCGUAGAUAUAUGGAAGAACACCAGUGGCGAAGGCGGCUGUCUGGUCUGCAACUGACGCUGAGGCUCGAAAGCAUGGGUAGCAAACAGGAUUAGAUACCCUUGUAGUC